rnacentral:misc_RNA from 1 species
AGAUUAUGUUGGCUUUGUUCUUCACUUUUUGGGUCCCUUGUCGCGGUAAAUCCCCUCUUCUUUAGCAAUUUAAGACGUAUACACCUUAGUAAGCUCGUUCUGGUGGAAUCUGGAGCAACUCACGGAUCCCUUCACAAACCAUCUUGAUCUGGGCCUUAAUUGAUGCAACUAGACGUGUAUAUUCCUCUAUUUGCCUGGCUAGUUUCUCCUCCCUUGCUGAUAUAUAAUUUAGAGCUUCUGACCAAGUAAACUCCACAUGAAAUCCAAGUCCAACAUCAACAAAUAUGCGUGUUGUAUCUGGGACAUCA